UACAGAGGUCUCAAGCGUUGUUCGGAUUCAUUGGGCGUAAAGGGUGCGUAGGCGGCGCGGUAAGUCGGGUGUGAAAUCUCGGAGCUUAACUCCGAAACUGCAUUCGAUACUGCCGUGCUUGAGGACUGGAGAGGAGACUGGAAUUUACGGUGUAGCGGUGAAAUGCGUGGAUAUCGUAAGGAAGACCAGUGGCGAAGGCGGGUCUCUGGACAGUUCCUGACGCUGAGGCACGAAGGUCAGGGGAGCAAACGGG
rnacentral:rRNA from 1 species